rnacentral:rRNA from 1 species
GGUUCAAUUGAACGCUGGCGGCAGGCCUAACGUAACAUGCAAGUCGAGCGGUAGCACAGAGAGCUUGCUUUCGGGUGACGAGCGGCGGACGGGUGAGUAAUGUCUGGGAAACUGCCUGAUGGAGGGGGAUAACUACUGGAAACGGUAGCUAAUACCGCAUAACGUCGCAAGACCAAAGAGGGGGACCUUCGGGCCUCUUGCCAUCAGAUGUGCCCAGAUGGGAUUAGCUAGUAGGUGGGGUAAUGGCUCACCUAGGCGACGAUCCCUAGCUGGUCUGAGAGGAUGACCAGCCACACUGGAACUGAGACACGGUCCAGACUCCUACGGGGGAUUAGGCAGCAGUGGGGAAUAUUGCACAAUGGGCGCAAGCCUGAUGCAGCCAUGCCGCGUGUAUGAAGAAGGCCUUCGGGUUGUAAAGUACUUUCAGCGAGGAGGAAGGCAUUGUGGUUAAUAACCGCAGUGAUUGACGUUACUCGCAGAAGAAGCACCGGCUAACUCCGUGCCAGCAGCCGCGGUAAUACGGAGGGUGCAAGCGUUAAUCGGAAUUACUGGGCGUAAAGCGCACGCAGGCGGUCUGUCAAGUCGGAUAACCGUGAAAUCCCCGGGCUCAACCUGGGAACUGCAUUCGAAACUGGCAGGCUAGAGUCUUGUAGAGGGGGGUAGAAUUCCAGGUGUAGCGGUGAAAUGCGUAGAGAUCUGGAGGAAUACCGGUGGCGAAGGCGGCCCCCUGGACAAAGACUGACGCUCAGGUGCGAAAGCGUGGGCCCUUAAGAGCAAACAGGAUUAGAUACCCUGGUAGUCCACGCCGUAAACGAUGUCGACUUGGAGGUUGUUCCCUUGAGGAGUGGCUUCCGGAGCUAACGCGUUAAGUCGACCGCCUGGGGAGUACGGCCGCAAGGUUAAAACUCAAAUGAAUUGACGGGGGCCCGCACAAGCGGUGGAGCAUGUGGUUUAAACAUUCGAUGCAACGCGAAGAACCUUACCUACUCUUGACAUCCAGAGAACUUAGCAGAGAUGCUUUGGUGCCUUCGGGAACUCUGAGACAGGUGCUGCAUGGCUGUCGUCAGCUCGUGUUGUGAAAUGUUGGGUUAAGUCCCGCAACGAGCGCAACCCUUAUCCUUUGUUGCCAGCGACCUUGGUUCGGCCGGGAACUCAAAGGAGACUGCCAGUGAUAAACUGGAGGAAGGUGGGGAUGACGUCAAGUCAUCAUGGCCCUUACGAGUAGGGCUACACACGUGCUACAAUGGCAUAUACAAAGAGAAGCGACCUCGCGAGAGCAAGCGGACCUCACAAAGUAUGUCGUAGUCCGGAUCGGAGUCUGCAACUCGACUCCGUUGGAACUGAAGUCGGAAUCGCUAGUAAUCGUAGAUCAGAAUGCUACGGUGAAUACGUUCCCGGGCCUUGUACACACCGCCCGUCACACCAUGGGAGUGGGUUGCAAAAGAAGUAGGUAGCUUAACCUUCGGGAGGGCGCUUACCACUUUGUGAUUCAUGACUGGGGUG